AGAUCCCUUUCUGGUGACUCCAGAUGUGAAAUCCUGAUUCCUUAAUGAGACUGUCGCUGUCUCUGGCAAAUCCACAUCUGCCCUGCUCAGCUCAGCCGGGGAAGACACAGAGCUCUCAAUAAUUUGCUCCUUGGUCCUUCUCCGCCCAUCCAGGGACCCAGGUCUGCCAGUGAAAUAAUGGAAACUUUCCGGGAGCAAGAAGCUAAAAGAUUUUUGUCAAGACAAAUGCUCAGCAUAAGGAAAAUGAAGGUAAAUUAACUAACACCAGAGACCACAGCUGCUAGGUCAAUGUAGGAUGAGCUGUAAGAAACAAGUGACAUCGUGAAGCCCUGGUACUGGACAAGAAGUUAAUGUUUAUAUUGAGAACAGCUGGACUAGAAAUUCUUUGAGGCCAGAGGCUGUGGUUUGCGUUUCCCCUGAAUCUCCUACAGCUUCCAACACAAUGCUGAACAUAGAAAAAAAUCAGAAUUCUCACAGAGCCAGAUCCAGGUAAAAAGGUGGAAGAGGACACAUUGUGUUUCUAUUUGAUGAAAAUUGCCGUAAAUAUUUUGAAUGGAUUCAGAGCAUUGAGGAAACCAUGAAAAGACACUUGCAAAAGAGAACUUCCAGAGCUGCUUCAGAGACUGGCG
rnacentral:lncRNA from 1 species